AAUCUCGAAAGCCUAUCUCAGUUCGGAUUGGAGGCUGAAACCCGCCUCCAUGAAGUUGGAUUCGCUAGUAAUCGCGCAUCAGCCAUGGCGCGGUGAAUACCUUCCCGGGCCUUGUACACACCGCCCGUCAAGCCAUGGGAGCUGGGGGUGCCUGAAGUUCGUGACCGCAAGGAUCGACCUAGGGCAAAACCGGUGACUGGGGCUAAGUCGUAACAAGGUAAC
rnacentral:rRNA from 1 species